GACGAACGCUGGCGGCGUGCUUAACACAUGCAAGUCGAGCGGUAAGGCCCUUUCGGGGGUACGACGAGCGGCGAACGGGUGAGUAACACGUGGGUGACCUGCCCUCAGCUCUGGGAUAAGCCUGGGAAACCGGGUCUAAUACUGGAUAUGACUCCAUGACGCAUGUUGUGGGGUGGAAAGCCUUGUGCGGCUGAGGAUGGGCCCGCGGCCUAUCAGCUUGUUGGUGGGGNGAUGGCCUACCAAGGCGACGACGGGUAGCCGGCCUGAGAGGGCGACCGGCCACACUGGGACUGAGACACGGCCCAGACUCCUACGGGAGGCAGCAGUGGGGAAUCUUGCGCAAUGGGCGAAAGCCUGACGCAGCGACGCCGCGUGA
rnacentral:rRNA from 1 species